UCAAAGAACACCACCCUGGCCCCGAACGUGACUACACCCUCGUCUCCACCGCCCACCACCACGACAGUCCCGGUGUCACCGACGACUCUCACGCCGCCGCCGGUCACCACUCCAGCACCAGAUAUCUGUGGAAGCCGAAACAGUUGUAUUUCCUGUUUUGAUGGUAAUGCUACCUGCUUUUGGAUAGAAUGUAAAGGUAAAAGCUACUGUUCAGAUAAUUCAACAGUUAGUGAUUGCAAGGUGGUGAACACCACAGGAUUCUGUUCUGCGCCCACUGCCACACCAACGCCAACCAAUUCUACAGCUAAAACCACAACUCUGCCUUCCACUACUACAGCUUCCACCACAGCUACUACAUCAGGUACAACUAAUACCACUUUAACUCCAACUACACAACCUAUGCGGAAGUCUACCUUUGAUGCAGCCAGUUUCAUUGGAGGAAUUGUCCUUGUCUUGGGUGUGCAGGCUGUAAUUUUCUUUCUCUAUAAAUUCUGCAAAUCUAAAGAACGAAACUACCACACUCUGUAAAGAGACCCACUAAGUUAACAAGGACUGGCGUGUAACUCACUGAAACCAAAAUAUUAUCUUUCAAGAUGUCCCACAUGGAAGACGCUAUUCUAGGAUCUUUAAUUUUUCAAAGGAUGCAUAUAGGAGCAUCACCCUUGAAGAAAAAUCAGUUAAAUCAUUUUGCUCACUGGGAAUAUUUAAAAUAUGCUGCAUGAAUCCUUGUGGCUGUCUUCUUUUAUUUUGAAUGGCUGCUGCUGUGGGAUUAUGCUCUCUCUUCUUGACAUGCCAAAUGCAACUGUAAGUGAUGGGAAACACUGUCCUGCGCAGACAACCUCAUGACUCUUUUGGCAAUUUAAAUGUAGUCAUUUUAAGCCUGAAAGCUGCAUUAUUUUCAUCCUAACUCAGGAUGUAGUUUAGUGACCAGAAUUGAGAAGAAUGUGCCAAAUGAGCAUCAAUCAGGUGGAUUUUUGGCUAUCAUUUCAAAAGUGGAAUAAAUUUAUAAAUUUAGUAUCCGUAGAGUAAAAUUUUGUGCUUGAUAACAGUUAUUUUUUCUACAUUAGAAAAAAGAUGCCACACAGGGAAUUACAUUCCAGAUUUAAAGAAAUGAGAGGAUACAAAACAUGAAAAGUAUAGCAGGUUAUUGUUCAUACUUGUAAAGCACCUUAUGUCAUUGAGAAAGAACAGUGCCUUAAAAGACAGACUGAAAGGUAGACUGUAACUUUUAAAAUGUUGGUGAUUUUUUCUUUUACGUUAAUGAAGGGAAAAGUUGGUCUGAGGAUGUAACUUGAUGUGAGCAGUAGUAAACCUGCUUUUAGAUACCACACUGUUAGUAUUUAAUUGAAAACUUACCUACUUUAUUUCAAGCCUGAGUAACUUAAAUGAUGUUCUACAGAGUCGAAAGCCUUCAUCUAUUGGACCUCCCACCAUUUUUGUUAUGGCUGUUAAAAAGUGUAAAGUUGAUUUAAUUAUGUUUCCUUUGUACUUCAAAAAGGUAACCUAACACUGUUGUACCUUAAAAGGAUUUCCACUGAGCUCUCUUGAAAAGUAACUUCUAUAAGGCAAGGAAGAAAUAAGUUGUUUUAGAAUCAUUUACUAACUCUUUAAAUGAGACAGUCAUUUUAAGUUUUGAGAUAGCAAAUGUGAGCAGUAUAAUUUCAGAAAAAAUUUUAGUUAAUCAGAUGACUAAAAUUUUAUUGAUAAUUGCCCUGGAUAAACAGAUUGAACUUCUUGUUUCUCCUCUCCCAGCCUUUCUUCUUAAGUUUUGAUUCCUGUUGUAGGAAAAGCAUGUGUACUUUUAUUUUUUAGUUUUCUCGUGAAGCACUAGUUUUUUUGAGGUUGGGGGGUAUUUCUUCCCUGCCUUUGACGCAUUGGAUUAGUUCGGGGGCUUAAAUCAGUUUAAAAUGAACUUUUGCUUUUCUAGGUCAUUAAGAUGUUUUGUUUUAGUUUCUUUAGCCUGUAGUGGCCGAUUUUAGUACUGGUUUUCAAUAUUUUAUAGUAAAAGACAAGUUGCUUUGGUCCAUUUCAUAAGCCAGAAUUCCUUAUAUUUAGAUAAUUAAAGGUUCUUAAAAUGAAGAUUUACUGUUUCUUUGUUACUUGCUGGUACAGCUAAAGUUUGUUUUACUUGCACAUUUGUACAUAUACCUAAUGUUUUCAAGUGCCUUAAUUGUUUAAAAUCUCUGGCUUCAAAGGUUUUUGGGAAAAGGUAGGCUUACCUCACAUUUUUGUGUUUCCCUCAGUAGUGAUAUUCUAGGUACCUCACAGAAAUUUUUAUUACGGUGCCAUAGCUGUUAGCUUUUAGUGAUUGCUUUAAGAUACAAAAUUGAGUUGAAAAUACACAGAAUUUCCAUUCUCCAAAGGGGUAAAAAUUAGCUACAAUGGUGUAAUUGUCAUUUACUUAGAUACAAAUACCUUGCCACACAUUAAUGUUAAUGCUAUAGCUAUUUCUGUGAAAAUGUAGCUGAUAAAGCCUCUCAUCUUCUGUAGUUUUGAAUACUGCUCUGACAGAAUCAUAAUAUGGAAUUAGAUUUUACAAGAAGAGCUCUUACAGUGAACUCACCGCCUUUUCCCCUCUUUAGCAGUUUAGUAUCUUGAGCCAUUAAUGAUUUGGGUUUUUUUUUUUAAUCCAGAAGUUAUAUAGAAACAUUUUCAGAUUUUUCACAGGAUUUGUUCAUGCAGAUUGUAAUUCUAUUAAAAUCCCGUACCUUACCUUACAGAUAAUUGUUGCACAGGCAGACACUGCUGUAUUUAGAAAUUUCUAUUUCAGUUCAUUAAAAACUGCAAAACCAAUCUGUAUCAUGUACCAAACCAAUCUAAAAUAAAUCUACAUGUUUAUUGGGUUAA